rnacentral:rRNA from 1 species
GACGGAGGGUGCUAGCGUUGUUCGGAAUUACUGGGCGUAAGGGCGCGUAGGCGGCCUUCUCAGUCGGGUGUGAAAGCCCGGGGCUCAACCCCGGAACGGCACCCGAGACGGGUUGGCUGGAGACCGGGGAGAGGAGGGUGGAAUAGCCAGUGUAGAGGUGAAAUUCGUAGAUAUUGGCUGGAACACCGGUGGCGAAAGCGGCUCUCUGGCCCGGUUCUGACGCUGAGGCGCGAAAGCGUGGGGAGCAAAGCAGGG